GACCUUAAACUUUCUUGACCCUGUUUCGGGAUGCUCAGGUCGUGGGGUCCUUUGGAAUUCAACGCUCUGGGAAAGGAGCCCUUGUGUAUUCCCUACCUCGCCCCUGCUCUUAAAAUAUAUACUAAAUUCCUGGGAGGUUUUGUAGAGUUCAGAACAACAUUCCCCAGCUAACCUUUCGGUUGUGGUGUAUGGGAAGGUUGAAACUAUGAGGUGCUGGGGACCGUCUUGAAUGAAAAACACUGCGGUGUCCAAGGACGCUAGUUUGGUUGUCGCGUUCACUCUGAGCUUUCUCUGGACUUCAGGUCAAUCAAAGAUAACGCGUUGAGAAGGAGCGGGGUACCUUCCCUGGACCCAGAAAGAAAUACCAUUUCUCCACCCCCAAUCUCACACACACCCCUUAGUCGCUCCCUCCAAAUGGUUAUCACAACUGUGUACAAACUGAUACGGUUCUUAGCGGGCCAAGGACUGGAAAUGAACACUGGCGGGGUUAUCAGUGCCGAUCUGUCAGCAGCAAGUCGCGCACUGCUUGUCCCAGGCAGCAGCAGUGAUAUACGUCUUAUUCCUUUGAGCUCACAAAAGGGAUUUCUUUCGACAAGCUGGACAUUGGAAGAAGGCUGCGAGAAGGGAAUUGAACAUGAGAAACACUCUUGUGGGAGUGGAUUCUUACAGGAACACCCCAGUCACUGUGGCUUCAGCGUGGCUGCAUUUAUGAAAGGCUGGAAGUAGAAAACUCUGGAAUGGAGAGACUAGCAGCUGGAACAGGAUUCAAAGGCUUUAAAUUUUAACCCGAGUUCGAUCGAAAGUUACUACCACAAGAGACUGGCACGGGCCGGCCCAAUUCCCACCACGGCUUCCAGCGGCUUGCUUUGGGUUGUCCGGCGUCGAAGACUAGAGAACACACUGACCCUGGCGCCUCUGGGACAGAGGUGAGGAGUUCGACCCAAACGAACAGAUUCGACAACAUUCGGACUCUAGAGGCUGGGGAAGAAACCCAUAAUUUUACCGUCCUCAUUCCCAAUCAUUUUAGUAGUGCCUCCAACCACAAGAAAACCGAUAGAUCAUUGUUUUUCCUUUCAGGGCUCAAAAUUCACCUUUUAAACUUUUUUUAAAGACUAGCUUUCCGAAAGAGGAAUAGGUUAGAGAAAUAUUUUUUUUUCCAUCUCAGUUAAUGUAAAAAUAAAACCUGUCCGGUUGACUAAGACAAAAACCUA
rnacentral:lncRNA from 1 species